AGUAGCAGUUAAAUCAUAAGAAAGCAUUUUUUCCUUUGAAGUGGUGAAAUCCUUCGCUAUUAUUAUAGGUUUGACGAAUUUCAUGCUGACUGUGGCUGGUGUGAGUGCGACGGUGCUUUUUCUAAGGAGUAACGUGAAGCAAUCUGCCAACAUAUUCAGGCACAUCCAUAACCAUAACUAGCUCGAAGAAGAAACCGCUGCUUCUUCCAAUGUUAGUGUUCACCUAUGAUGAUAGCAGCAACAACAAUGGAAACUGAAUCACUUAUGAGGGGUGACAAACUCAUUCUGAGGGGAGUAAUGUUCCAUGGUUUUCAUGGUGUGAAUCCAGAAGAAAGAACACUUGGUCAGAAAUUCUUGGUAGAUAUAGAUGCUUGGAUGGAUCUUAGAGCUGCUGGUAAAUCUGAUAACUUGUCAGAUUCGGUUAGCUACACAGAUAUAUUACCGAUGAAUGCAGAAUAGUAAAGGAAGUUAUUGAAGGGCCACCCCACAACCUUCUGGAAUCAGUGGCUCAAAAGAUUGUAAGCACAACUCUAACAAAUCACCAUCAGAUAUCUGCUGUUAGGGUUCUAGUUGGAAAACCCCAUGUUGCAGUUAUAGGUCCAGUUGAUUACUUAGGAGUUGAGGUUCAUAGGUUCAGAAGUGAUGUAGCAAACUAGAAUUUAGUUUGAUUUUCAGUGCUGAAUGUUUUGUAACUCUAACUUUGUCUUUUCAUUACAUUGAACUUCCAAGAAUGCUUGGGUUAGAUAAGACUUGGUUGUUAUUGUUUCAAACACAAAGACAGCUAUGGUUUCAAAUUUAAUCUCUACUUGACUAAUAUACAAAGAUAAACAAAUGAUAAUUCCUUUAAUUGCAAA